ensembl:rRNA 5S_rRNA 5S ribosomal RNA
AGUUAUGGCCAUACCACCCUGAAUGUGCCUGAUCUCAUCUGAUCUCAGAAGCUAAGCAGGGUCGGGACUGGUUAGUUAGUACUUGGAUGGGAGACCACCUAGGAAUACCAAAUGCUGUAGGCA